rnacentral:rRNA from 1 species
UGCAGUCGAGCGAGAAGUUUGAAAAAUGAGUUUUCGGACAAGUGAUUCAAACGGAAAGCGGCGGACGGGUGAGUAACGCGUAGGCAACCUGCCCCGUGCAGAGGGACAGCCUCGGGAAACCGGGAUUAAGACCUCAUGAUAUCGGGUUAUCACAUGGUAAUCCGGUCAAAGAUUUAUCGGCAUGGGAUGGGCCUGCGUCUGAUUAGCUGGUUGGUGGGGUAACGGCCUACCAAGGCGACGAUCAGUAGCAGAACUGAGAGGUUCAUCUGCCACAUUGGAACUGAGACACGGUCCAAACUCCUACGGGAGGCAGCAGUGAGGAAUAUUGCACAAUGGGCGAAAGCCUGAUGCAGCAACGCCGCGUGAGCGAAGAAGGCCUUUGGGUCGUAAAGCCCUGUCCUUGGGGAAGAAACAAAUGACGGUACCCUUGGAGGAAGCCCCGGCUAACUACGUGCCAGCAGCCGCGGUAAUACGUAGGGGGCGAGCGUUAUCCGGAAUUAUUGGGCGUAAAGAGUGCGUAGGUGGUCUUGUAAGCGUGGGGUGAAAGGCAGUGGCUUAACCAUUGUUAGCCUUGCGAACUGUGAGACUUGAGUGCAGGAGAGGAAAGCGGAAUUCCUAGUGUAGCGGUGAAAUGCGUAGAUAUUAGGAGGAACACCAGUGGCGAAGGCGGCUUUCUGGACUGUAACUGACACUGAGGCACGAAAGCGUGGGGAGCAAACAGGAUUAGAUACCCUGGUAGUCCACGCCGUAAACGAUGAGCACUAGGUGUCGGGGUUUAAAGACUU